rnacentral:rRNA from 1 species
CGUAGGGUGCGAGCGUUAAUCGGAAUUACUGGGCGUAAAGCGUGCGCAGGCGGUUGUGUAAGACAGGCGUGAAAUCCCGGGCUCAACCUGGGAACUGCGCUUGUGACUGCACGGCUAGAGUACGGCAGAGGGGGGUGGAAUUCCACGUGUAGCAGUGAAAUGCGUAGAGAUGUGGAGGAACACCAAUGGCGAAGGCAGCCCCCUGGGUCGAUACUGACGCUCAUGCACGAAAGCGUGGGUAGCAAACAGGAUUAGAUACCCUGGUAGUCCACGCCCUAAACGAUGUCAACUAGGUGUUGGGAGGGUAAAACCUUUUAGUACCGGAGCUAACGCGUGAAGUUGACCGCCUGGGGAGUACGGCCGCAAGGUUA